AAUCUCGCUCUGUCACCCAGGCUGGAGUGCAGUGGCACGAUCUCGGCUCACUGCAACCUCCGCCUCCUGGGUUCAAGUGAUUCUCCUGCCUCAGUCUCCCAAGUAGCCGGGACUACAGGCGCGUGCCACCACGGCCAGCUAAUUUUUUGUGUUUUUAGUAGAGAUAGGGUUUCACCAUGUUAGCCAGGAUGGUGUCAAUCUCCUGACCUCAUGAUCUGCCUGCCUCGGCCUCCUAAAGUGCUGGGAUUACAGGCGUGAGCCAUCGCGCCCGGCCGAUAAAUUAAAACUUUAAAUACUUAAAUACUUAAUAUUUAAAAAUUUGUUUUAUUUCUGACCUACUGAAAGGUACAACAAACACCUCUGUAUCUGGGACCAACAUGAGGAAUAAACCACUGGAGAGAUAACUGAAGCCCCUCGUGCCCCUCAACUUGAUUCUCUCUCUCUCUUCUCAGGGGUGGCCACUCCCCUGAAUGCAGUGAUUAUCCUUCCCAAGGACGUCCUUUUUCCUGUGCUACAUAUGGGGGGACGAAGUUUCACUCUGUUGCCCAGCCUGGAGAACAGUGAUGAGAUCUCAGCUCACUGCAAGCUCUGCCUCCCGGGUUCAAGCAAUUCUCCUGCCUCAGCCUCCCAAGUAGCUGGGAUUAUAGGCACACGCCACCAUGCCUGGCUAAUUUUUGUAUUUUUAGAAGAGACUAAAUAUACAAAGGUUUAGGGUUUCGCCAUGUUGGCCAGGCUGGUCUUGAACUUCUGACCUCAAGUGAUCCUCCUUUCUCAGCCUCCCAAAGUGCUAGGAUUACAGGCAUGAGCCACAGCACCCGGCCUGAUCUUUUAAACAUAAAUGAUAAAGAAUUGAUAGGGUGAUUUCCAUUUCUUUUGCAAAAACAAAUCAUAACUUUUCCCUGUUUCUUUUCUUUUCUAUCCUUUUCUCUUUUUUUGAGAUAGUCUUGCUCUGUCGCCCAGGCUGGAAUGCAGUGGUGCAAUCUCGGCUCACUGCAACCUCCACCUCCCGGGUUCAAGCAGUUGUCUUGCCUCAGCCUCCCGAGUAGCUGGAAUUACAGGCACCUGCCACCAAGCCUGGCUAAUUUUUGUAUUUUUGGUAGAGAUGGGUUUCACCUUGUUGGUCAGGCUGGUCUCGAACUCAUGACCUCAAGUGAUCUGCUGCCUCAGCCUCCCAAAGUGCUGGGAAUACAGGCAUGAGCCACCAUGCCCAGCCCUUCCUUGUUUCUUUAAUGAUGGCUAUUCCCCCUUCCCAGGCCAGAAUUAUGGAGAUAAUUGUCUCAACUGAUUAUUUCCUCCUCCAAGAAAAGCUGAAGAAUGCAUAGUGUUAAGCACACGGGGUGCUUGAUAGCAUAGUGGUAAGGUUCAAGAGCUUUGAAGCCAAGCAGUCCAUCUGUUAGCUACGAGACCUUGGAGCUCUCUUAGCAAAGAAGAGAGGAAUGUCUAUUGCGUGGCAAUCUGUGGUGCCUGCCAAAAAAGAUAGAAUACAAAGAUUAAUCAUACAGUAAUACUCAGUCUUCAACCUCGAGGUGCUCUUAAAGGAGCCCAUGAAAUAAAAUAAUAAACCAUAGAAAAUGAUAAGUACUACUAGGUAAAAAAUCAAGGUAGAGAGUGAUAGUACUUACAAAAGAGAUACAGAAAGAAAUUGGAGUGGAAAGGAGGGAGACAGUCAGGAGGGCUUCUUGAAGGAGGUGGCCGGGAGAAACAAGGAUUUGGGUCCAUGGAAUUCAGAGCAAGAAUAUUCUGGGCUAUGAGGAUAGCAUGAGCAAAGGCAUUGAGACUGAUAUAUCAGGUUGCAUAUAGGGAACAGAGACAAGAGAGUGGCUCGGUUUGACCACGAAUGAAGUGAAAUAGAGGGAGAGAAGAGAAUAUAGGGUUGAGGUCCGGUUAGGCGAGGCCUUGAAUGUCAUGCAGAGGAGUAGCUUUGACAGUUUAUAUGCUCCUCCCCAGUAAGACGUGUAGCCGUAUAAUGAGAGCUUUCGAGACCAAGCUGUGUCGUCAAUUCUGGAAGACUGUCGUACCAGAAGGCCUUGACUUUUCCUAUCUUGGUCCAAUGUCACUCCUUGCAGAUUUGCUAUCUCAGUACAAAAGAUGUGAAAGACACUGGAACAUGCUGUUUUACAAAACAUCUCAGAAAGAGCCAGUCUGAGAAGCAGUGUGCAAUGGCCUCAGGAGUCCCAUUCUCACUUGAAAAGUGGACGGAGCGCCAAGCUGGAUCUAGGAUGCUUGGGGUGGAAUUAACCCAGAACGGAAUAUGCAAUGGCUGUUCUGGUUAACAGG
rnacentral:lncRNA from 1 species